UGGGUUCCUACCUCGAGAGAGGAUGGUAAUCUCAAAAACCUGGUCGUAGUUCGGAUUGAGGGCUGAAACUCGCCCUCAUGAAGCUGGAUUCGGUAGUAAUCGCGUCUCAGAAGGGCGCGGUGAAUACGUCCCUGCUCCUUGCACAA
rnacentral:rRNA from 1 species